ACAUGUAAACAAACAGAGUGGUGUGUGGCUGGCCGCGUGGUCUGUCUGUGACACCCUCAGCCCCACCCUGGCCAGGCGCGGCGCCCCACACAGCAGAACACUUCCGGCCACGACUCCACUCAGGGCCGCACACCAGCCCCAGCCAGGCUCCACACCCUCAGCCCCACCCUGGCCAGGGCGCGGCGCCCCACACAGCAGAACACUUCCGGCCACGACUCCACUCAGGGCCGCACACCAGCCCCAGCCAGGCUCCACACCCUCAGAGAUGGCAGAAUAAAAGAAAACUGAGUAUUAGACAUCUGGUGAGCUGCAGGAAGGGUUGGGGGCGAGGCUGUGUAUAUAUGGCUAAAAGUGUUUGCAAGACACUCCGCCAUGCCACUGGGAUCACUAACUGUUGACCCGUGCCCCAUCAGGACGUCAUUGUCUCCAGUCGUGUGGUCCAGUGAGUCACCGCUCUACCGCACGACAGUGACCCCAAGGAAGUCCCGGUCCACAGCAGGGAUGUGGCCACCCCUGGCCACAGCCCCAAGUGUUCCCUGGUGGGCCAUACUCACUGAGCUCCUCCUCCUCCUCCUCCUCCUCCUCACCUUGCUGCCGUGGAAGG